GACGAACGCUGGCGGCGUGCUUAACACAUGCAAGUCGAACGGAAAGGCCCUGCUUUUGUGGGGUGCUCGAGUGGCGAACGGGUGAGUAACACGUGAGUAACCUGCCCUUGACUUUGUGAUAACUUCAGGAAACUGGGGCUAAUACCGGAUAUGAGCUCCUGCUGCAUGGUGUGGGUUGGAGAGUUUCGGCGGUUGGGGAUGGACUCGCGGCUUAUCAGCUUGUUGGUGGGGUAGUGGCUUACCAAGGCUUUGACGGGUAGCCGGCCUGAGAGGGUGAACGGCCACAUGGGGACUGAGAUACGGCGCAGACUCCUACGGGAGGCAGCAGUGGGGAAUAUUGCAGAAUGGGCGGAAGCCUGAUGCAGCAACGCCGCGUGCGGGAUGACGGCCUUCGGGUUGUAAACCGCUUUCGCAGGUGACGAAGCGUGAGUGACGGUAAUGGGUAAAGAAGCACCGGCUAACUACGUG
rnacentral:rRNA from 1 species